UUCUUUGAGGACCACAAAAUAAAGACUUCAUGUUU
rfam:Ovis aries renin mRNA, complete cds.